UUAUACAAACAAAAAAAGCGA
rnacentral:piRNA from 1 species